UCUGUCCUUGGUGAAGAAAAAAUGACGGUAGCCAAGGAGGAAGCCCCGGCUAACUACGUGCCAGCAGCCGCGGUAAUACGUAGGGGGCGAGCGUUGUCCGGAUUUACUGGGCGUAAAGGGUGAGUAGGCGGUUAUAUAUGUCAGAUGUAAAAGGCUAUGGCUUAACCAUAGUUAGCAUUUGAAACUGUAUGACUUGAGUGCAGGAGAGGUAAGUGGAAUUCCUAGUGUAGCGGUGAAAUGCGUAGAUAUUAGGAGGAACACCAGUGGCGAAGGCGACUUACUGGACUGUAACUGACGCUGAGUCACGAAAGCGUGGGUAGCAAACAGGAUUAGAUACCCUGGUAGUCCACGCUGUAAACGAUGAGUGCUAGGUGUUGGGUAGCGAUACUCAGUGCCGAAGUAAACACAAUAAGCACUCCGCCUGGGGAGUACGGUCGCAAGACUGAAACUCAAAGGAAUUGACGGGGACCCGCACAAGCAGCGGAGCAUGUGGUUUAAUUCGAAGCAACGCGAAGAACCUUACCAAGGCUUGACAUCCCCUUGACCGGCACAGAGAUGUGCCCUCUCCUUCGGGAGCAAGGGUGACAGGUGGUGCAUGGUUGUCGUCAGCUCGUGUCGUGAGAUGUUGGGUUAAGUCCCGCAACGAGCGCAACCCUUGUCCUUAGUUGCCAGCAGGUAAAGCUGGGCACUCUAGGGAGACUGCCGAUGAUAAAUCGGAGGAAGGUGGGGAUGACGUCAAAUCAUCAUGCCCCUUAUGUCUUGGGCUACACACGUGCUACAAUGGUCGGUACAACGGGCAGCGAAAGAGUGAUCUGAAGCAAAUCCCAAUAAACCGAUCCCAGUUCGGAUUGUAGGCUGCAACUCGCCUACAUGAAGUCGGAGUUGCUAGUAAUCGCGAAUCAGAACGUCGCGGUGAAUGCGUUCCCGGGUCUUGUACACACCGA
rnacentral:rRNA from 1 species